rnacentral:rRNA from 2 species
AGGGAAACCGAGUCUUAACUGGGCGUUAAGUUGCAGGGUAUAGACCCGAAACCCGGUGAUCUAGCCAUGGGCAGGUUGAAGGUUGGGUAACACUAACUGGAGGACCGAACCGACUAAUGUUGAAAAAUUAGCGGAUGACUUGUGGCUGGGGGUGAAAGGCCAAUCAAACCGGGAGAUAGCUGGUUCUCCCCGAAAGCUAUUUAGGUAGCGCCUCGUGAACUCAUCUUCGGGGGUAGAGCACUGUUUCGGCUAGGGGGUCAUCCCGACUUACCAACCCGAUGCAAACUGCGAAUACCGAAGAAUGUUAUCACGGGAGACACACGGCGGGUGCUAACGUCCGUCGUGAAGAGGGAAACAACCCAGACCGCCAGCUAAGGUCCCAAAGUCAUGGUUAAGUGGGAAACGAUGUGGGAAGGCUCAGACAGCCAGGAUGUUGGCUUAGAAGCAGCCAUCAUUUAAAGAAAGCGUAAUAGCUCACUGGUCGAGUCGGCCUGCGCGGAAGAUGUAACGGGGCUAAACUGUGCACCGAAGCUGCGGCAGCGACGCUUAUGCGUUGUUGGGUAGGGGAGCGUUCUGUAAGCCUGCGAAGGUGUCCUGUGAGGGAUGCUGGAGGUAUCAGAAGUGCGAAUGCUGACAUAAGUAACGAUAAUGCGGGUGAAAAGCCCGCUCGCCGGAAGACCAAGGGUUCCUGUCCAACGUUAAUCGGGGCAGGGUGAGUCGACCCCUAAGGCGAGGCCGAAAGGCGUAGUCGAUGGGAAACGGGUUAAUAUUCCCGUACUUGGUGUUACUGCGAAGGGGGGACGGAGAAGGCUAUGUUGGCCGGGCGACGGUUGUCCCGGUUUAAGCGUGUAGGCUGGUUUUCCAGGCAAAUCCGGAAAAUCAAG